rnacentral:rRNA from 1 species
AACAGCUCAAAUUUGAAAUCUGGCUUCGGCCCGAGUUGUAAUUUGUAGAGGAUGCUUUUGGUGAGGUGCCUUCUGAGUUCCCUGGAACGGGACGCCAGAGAGGGUGAGAGCCCCGUAUAGUCGGCCACCGAUCCUCUGUAAAGCUCCUUCGACGAGUCGAGUAGUUUGGGAAUGCUGCUCAAAAUGGGAGGUAUAUCUCUUCUAAAGCUAAAUAUUGGCCAGAGACCGAUAGCGCACAAGUAGAGUGAUCGAAAGAUGAAAAGCACUUUGAAAAGAGGGUUAAAUAGCACGUGAAAUUGUUGAAAGGGAAGCGCUUGUGACCAGACUUGUGCCGGGCUGAUCAUCCAGUGUUCUCACUGGUGCACUCGACCCGGCUCAGGCCAGCGUCGGUUCUCGCGGGGGGAUAAAAGCUCCGGGAACGUGGCACCUCCGGGUGUGUUAUAGCCCGCUGCUUAAUACCUUCGCGGGGACCGAGGUUCGCGCUCUGCAAGGACGCUGGCAUAAUGGUCAUCAGCGACCCGUCUUGAAACACGGACCAAGGAGUCGAGGUUUUGCGCGAGUGUUUGGGUGUAAAACCCGCACGCGUAAUGAAAGUGAACGUAGGUGAGAGCUUCGGCGCAUCAUCGACCGAUCCUGAUGUAUUCGGAUGGAUUUGAGUAAGAGCGUAUAGCCUCGGACCCGAAAGAUGGUGAACUAUGCCUGAAUAGGGUGAAGCCAGAGGAAACUCUGGUGGAGGCUCGCAGCGGUUCUGACGUGCAAAUCGAUCGUCAAAUUUGGGCAUGGGGGCGAAAGACUAAUCGAACCAUCUAGUAGCUGGUUACCGCCGAAGUUUCCCUCAGGAUAGCAGUGUUGUUCUUCAGUUUUAUGAGGUAAAGCGAAUGAUUAGGGACUCGGGGGCGCUAUAUAGCCUUCAUCCAUUCUCAAACUUUAAAUAUGUAAGAAGCCCUUGUUACUUAAUUGAACGUGGGCAUUCGAAUGUACCAACACUAGUGGGCCAUUUUUGGUAAGCAGAACUGGCGAUGCGGGAUGAACCGAACGCGGGGUUAAGGUGCCAGAGUGGACGCUCAUCAGACACCACAAAAGGCGUUAGUACAUCUUGACAGCAGGACGGUGGCCAUGGAAGUCGGAAUCCGCUAAGGACUGUGUAACAACUCACCUGCCGAAUGUACUAGCCCUGAAAAUGGAUGGCGCUCAAGCGUCCCACCCAUACCCCGCCGUCA